UGGUUCAGUUGGUAGAGCAUGUGACUCUUGAUCUCAGGGUCAUGAGUUCAAGUCCCAU
rnacentral:tRNA from 1 species